CUUUCGGGGUACACGAGCGGCGAACGGGUGAGUAACACGUGGGUGAUCUGCCCUGCACUUCGGGAUAAGCCUGGGAAACUGGGUCUAAUACCGGAUAUGACCUCAGGUUGCAUGACUUGGGGUGGAAAGAUUUAUCGGUGCAGGAUGGGCCCGCGGCCUAUCAGCUUGUUGGUGGGGUAAUGGCCUACCAAGGCGACGACGGGUAGCCGACCUGAGAGGGUGACCGGCCACACUGGGACUGAGACACGGCCCAGACUCCUACGGGAGGCAGCAGUGGGGAAUAUUGCACAAUGGGCGAAAGCCUGAUGCAGCGACGCCGCGUGAGGGAUGACGGCCUUCGGGUUGUAAACCUCUUUCAGCAGGGACGAAGCGCAAGUGACGGUACCUGCAGAAGAAGCACCGGCUAACUACGUGCCAGCAGCCGCGGUAAUACGUAGGGUGCAAGCGUUGUCCGGAAUUACUGGGCGUAAAGAGUUCGUAGGCGGUUUGUCGCGUCGUUUGUGAAAACCAGCAGCUCAACUGCUGGCUUGCAGGCGAUACGGGCAGACUUGAGUACUGCAGGGGAGACUGGAAUUCCUGGUGUAGCGGUGAAAUG
rnacentral:rRNA from 1 species